UACGGGGGGGGCAAGCGUUGUUCGGAAUUACUGGGCGUAAAGCGUGCGUAGACGGUUAUUUAAGUCGGAUGUGAAAGCCCCGGGCUCAACCUGGGAAUUGGCAUUCGAGACUGAAUAGCUAGGGUACGGUAGAGGGAAGUGGAAUUUCCGGUGUAGCGGUGAAAUGCGUAGAUAUCGGAAGGAACAUCAGUGGCGAAAGCGACUUCCUGGACCAGUACCGACGUUCAGGCACGAAAGCGUGGGGAGCAAACAGG
rnacentral:rRNA from 1 species